GGUUGAUCCCGCCGGAGGUCCCUGCUAUCGGGGUUCGAUUAAGCCAUGCGAGUCGAGAGGGUUCAGACCCUCGGCGGACUGCUCAGUAACACGUGGAUAAUCUGCCCUAUGGUGGAGGAUAACCCCGGGAAACUGGGGAUAAUACUCCAUAAGUCAGGAGUACUGGAAUGUCUCCUAACUGAAAGUUGCGGCGCCAUAGGAUGAAUCUGCGGCCGAUUAGGUAGUUGUUGGGGUAACGGCCCAACAAGCCCGUAAUCGGUACGGGUUGUGGGAGCAAGAGCCCGGAGAUGGAAUCUGAGACACGAUUCCAGGCCCUACGGGGCGCAGCAGGCGCGAAAACUUUACAAUGCAGGAAACUGUGAUAAGGGAACCCCGAGUGCCCGUACACGCGGGCUGUCCCGGUGUUUAAAACACAUCGGAAGAAAGGGCCGGGCAAGACCGGUGCCAGCCGCCGCGGUAAUACCGGCGGCUCGAGUGGUGACCACUUUUAUUGGGCUUAAAGCGUUCGUAGCUUGAUUUUUAAGUCUCUUGGGAAAUCUCACGGCUUAACUGUGAGGCGUCUAAGAGAUACUGGGAAUCUAGGGACCGGGAGAGGUAAGAGGUACUUCAGGGGUAGAAGUGAAAUUCUGUAAUCCUUGAGGGACCACCGAUGGCGAAGGCAUCUUACCAGAACGGCUUCGACAGUGAGGAACGAAAGCUGGGGGAGCGAACGGGAUUAGAUACCCCGGUAGUCCCAGCCGUAAACUAUGCGCGUUAGGUGUGCCUGUAACUACGAGUUACCGGGGUGCCGAAGUGAAAACGUGAAACGUGCCGCCUGGGAAGUACGGUCGCAAGGCUGAAACUUAAAGGAAUUGGCGGGGGAGCACCACAACGGGUGGAGCCUGCGGUUUAAUUGGACUCAACGCCGGGCAGCUCACCGGAUAGGACAGCGGAAUGAUAGCCGGGCUGAAGACCUUGCUUGACCAGCUGAGAGGAGGUGCAUGGCCGUCGUCAGUUCGUACUGUGAAGCAUCCUGUUUAGUCAGGCAACGAGCGAGACCCU
rnacentral:rRNA from 1 species